AUACUUACAUGGCAGAGGAAUUACCAUGAUCGUGAAGGUGGUUUUCUCAGCAAGGCUUAUCCACUGCACUCCAGAUGUGCUGACCCCUGCAGUUUCCCCAAAUGUGAGGUGCAGGGGGGAACUUGACUAUCAUUUGUGGUAGAGGGGGAGCAUUUGUGCUCUCCCCUU